CCUACGGGAGGCAGCAGUGGGGAAUAUUGCACAAUGGGCGAAAGCCUGAUGCAGCAACGCCGCGUGAGGGACGACGGCCUUCGGGUUGUAAACCUCUUUUAGUAGGGAAGAAGCGAAAGUGACGGUACCUGCAGAAAAAGCACCGGCUAACUACGUGCCAGCAGCCGCGGUAAUACGUAGGGUGCAAGCGUUAUCCGGAAUUAUUGGGCGUAAAGAGCUCGUAGGCGGUUUGUCGCGUCUGCUGUGAAAACUGGGGGCUCAACCCCCAGCCUGCAGUGGGUACGGGCAGACUAGAGUGCGGUAGGGGAGAUUGGAAUUCCUGGUGUAGCGGUGGAAUGCGCAGAUAUCAGGAGGAACACCGAUGGCGAAGGCAGAUCUCUGGGCCGUAACUGACGCUGAGGAGCGAAAGCAUGGGGAGCGAACAGGAUUAGAUACCCUGGUAGUCCAUGCCGUAAACGUUGGGAACUAGAUGUAGGGACCAUUCCACGGUUUCUGUGUCGCAGCUAACGCAUUAAGUUCCCCGCCUGGGGAGUACGGCCGCAAGGCUAAAACUCAAAGAUAGACGGCGUGNGAGCGCGACGACGACGACGACGGAGGAGG
rnacentral:rRNA from 1 species